rnacentral:rRNA from 1 species
UAGAGACUCAGAGCUGCAUAUCAAUAAGCGGAGGAAAAGAAACUAACUAGGAUUCCCUCAGUAACGGCGAGUGAAGCGGGAAGAGCUCAAAUUUGAAAUCUUCAAGGUUCUACCUUGACGAAUUGUAGUUUAAAGAAGUGUUUUCUGUUAGAUGAGUAGCAAAAGUUCCUUGGAAUGGGACAUCAUAGAGGGUGAGAAUCCCGUAUUUGGUACCAUUAUUUCCAGCUUUGUGAUAACACUUUCAAAGAGUCGGAUUGUUUGGGAAUGCAGUCCAAAAUGGGUGGUAAAUUUCAUCUAAAGCUAAAUAUUGGCGAGAGACCGAUAGCGAACAAGUACCGUGAGGGAAAGAUGAAAAGGACUUUGAAAAGAGAGUUAAACAGUACGUGAAAUUGUCAAAAGGGAAGCGUUUGACACCAGUGUUGUUUUUCCGAAAAUCAAUUACGAAUGGCUUGAUUUUGUGUUGUAUUGACCUUAUCAGCUUUCUUCACUUUUUUCGAGUCUUUCUUAAUGCACUUUUCGGUUAACAAGUCAACAUCAAUUUCUUUUGUUGUAAAAGAGUAUUCGGAAGGUGGCAUUCUUUUCGGAGAAAGUGUUUAUAGCCCUAUACUUCUACAAUCGGAGAGAUUGAGGUCUGCAGCGUAGAUCCUUCGGGGUUAGAUACAUUUGUGCUAAGUUGUAGCUUUUCAUAGACAACUUGUUGACUAUGUUUAGUCAUGCGGCUUACUCGCUUAUGCUAUUUUACCUACGCUUAGGAUGUUGACGAUCAGCUGAGCGCG